AUUUCAAUCGUCCAGGAGAUGGAAUAAUGCUGGAGUCCAAAGGUGGCAAACCGGGAGAAGCAGGUUGAUAACUAUGAGUGUUUGCCUGAUCGCUGACCCUACCAUCCGGCAGCUGAACAGGAUAGAUCAAAGUGCCCUAUGGUCAGGAGAGCAGCUUUUUGAAGGUUUUGGCGGAAACAUUCCCCCAGAUGAAUCCAAAUCUAGAGGCCUUUAAGACAGACAGGAGGAGGCUUGUUCCCCUACAAAAAAAGGACUGGUGUCAAGACAAUGGAGGACAGAGAUGGUGUGGUUGAAUUGGUGGCUCAACAAUUUGUCCAAGGGAGCAUGCAGGUGGCCUUGGAGCAGUUCAAAUAUCGUCUCAACUCUCUUGGACUGCUCGAAGCAUUAGGGAACCACCCAGACAGCUUCCGAGCACUUUUUGUGGACUCCAUAAAGCCUCCCACUGCCAAGGACCUGCGGGACCUAUUUAAAGUAACCUAUUCCAUACCUGGUGGCAACCGGCGGUGUUUGGAGAACGACACCAUCUGCCACUGGUUCAACUGGCUGGCUGAGGUGCAAGAUGGAGAAUGUCCUCCUCUAACAGUGGCGAUGGUGGUGGAGUUUGCUACUGGGGCAACGGUGGUGCCACCGCCUUGGGUUUGAGGACAACCCGACCAUCCAAUUCCUCCAUACAGUGCGAGGACGUCUCGCUGGGCAGCAGAAGAAAACGUACCCAGAGGCAAACACGUGUGCUGUGACACUAAGGCUUUCUCUUCAUAGCACCUACAAUGCCUUUAGGGAAUUCAUGACCUCCGGUAUUGUGAAUUCUCCACAUUUCGGUGUUGCAUAAAAACAUUUUUACAAUAAAUAAUUGCAUCUAGUAGCACUAAACUACAGUAGCAAUUGAGUGUUUGAAAAUGUAACUGCACAUCAACAUUUAAUCUACUUAUAUCUGUAUUGUUUGUACAGAGCAUUUGGAACAUAUUCAGACCCCUUGACUUUUUCCACAUUUUAUUACGUUACAGCUUUAUUCAAAAAAUGGAUACAAUAAUUCCCCCCCCUCAUCAAUCUACACACAAUACCCCAUAAUGACAACGCAAAAACAGGUUGCAUUUUUGCAAAUGUAUAAAAAAAGGAAAUAUUACAUUUAUGACCCUUUACUCAGUACUUUGCCAUUACACCAUUGAGUCUUCUUGGGUAUGACAUUAGAGUAAGGCUCUAAUGUAACAAAAUGUGGAAAAAGUCAAGGGGUCUGAAUACUUACCAAAUGCACUGUAUUUCCAUAUUGGCUAUUAUUGUUCACUUAAUGAUCAUUAAAAUUUAAAUAUACAAUCCAUAUUGCUUGUCUUGGUGUUAAGGUAUACUUUUGUUAGAAACACUUUACUGACACUUCACUAAUAACCAAUAUCCUUUGCUGAUAUUGACUGAAGUACUGCUGCCAUAUUGCAGCCAACUCAUCCAAAUCUGAUAAUUUGAUGUUCUACAUUAAGAACAAAUUAACUUCAGCUAACAUUAAGUUAACGUUACCUGGCUAUUGAUGGUUGAAGUUCAUCUCUUCCGUCCGUGAGCAGCAGUCUGGUGCAAUCAGAGAUGGUAGAUUUACAAUUUGAGGAAUUGGGCAGCCAUUGUUAACAAGCUAGCUAAUUUUACCUCGAAAGAACAGAAGUUGAGUGAACGUCUUUCAUCAAUACCUGAGACUUGGGCGGAGUCCAAACGACCUUUAUGCAAAUGUGAUCAUCAGUGACAAAAUCUAUGACUUCCGGCGCCGACAGAGAUGGCCGCCUCUCUCACGUUCCAAGGAAACUAUGCAGUAUUUUGUUUUUUAACGUGUUAUUUUCUUACAUUGGUAGCCCAGGUAAUCUUAGGUUUCAUUACAUACAGAGCCUAAGAGCAACGUCAACUCACCAUCAUUACGACCAGGAAUAUGACUUUCCCG
rnacentral:lncRNA from 13 species